GUAAUACGGAGGGGGUUAGCGUUGUUCGGAAUUACUGGGCGUAAAGCGCACGUAGGCGGACUGGAAAGUUGGGGGUGAAAUCCCAGGGCUCAACCCUGGAACUGCCUCCAAAACUAUCAGUCUAGAGUUCGAGAGAGGUGAGUGGAAUUCCGAGUGUAGAGGUGAAAUUCGUAGAUAUUCGGAGGAACACCAGUGGCGAAGGCGGCUCACUGGCUCGAUACUGACGCUGAGGUGCGAAAGUGUGGGGAGCAAACAGGAUUAGAUACCCUGGUAGUCCACACCGUAAACGAUGAAUGCCAGUCGUCGGGUAGCAUGCUAUUCGGUGACACACCUAACGGAUUAAGCAUUCCGCCUGGGGAGUACGGUCGCAAGAUUAAAACUCAAAGGAAUUG
rnacentral:rRNA from 1 species